GGCUAAGAGCCAGGCUGGAAAGCCCAGGAAUUUUUCUUGAGGAAAUUAUGGUUGAGCAGAGACCUAAAGGAUAAGUAAGAAUUAACUGAUAAAUUUAAUUAAAAGUGUGACAGAGCACCCCAGGCAAGAAAACAGUGUGUGAAAGAAGACAAAGGAAGGCAUGAGGAUCUGAAAGUGCUGUAAGUUUAGAGGUAAGGAAACCAUAUGGACCAUUCUUGAACGAGUCUGGACAUGAAACAAUUAAGAUCUGAAGCCAGGCUAGAACAUUGCAGAGAGUGAGAAGUGGAUAAACUCAAGAGGAAUUGAGGAAUCUCAUCGUCCUUCAGGAGUUUCCAAGUGAAGCUGAUCAUUAAAAUGACAUGAGGAGAUAUUUUAUCUUGUUUUAUUUCUUUAAAUAGUGAUUUUUGGCCUCACCCUGAGAGACACUGAAUUGGUAAAUAAAUUACAUAUGAAGAUGGAUUUCUAUUUUUAAACUUUUUAGCAGCAAGAUUUCAAAUUUAUUGAUAAUGGAACUACUGAGAUGGCUCCUCUGGAUGAAGAGCAUCUUUUGAAGCAGAAUUCGGAUGUCUCAUUUGGGGAAGUUGACUUUGGGGGCUGUGUUUUGCUUCAUUGGAAAUAUCUAGCACGUCUGGGUGAGGCCACGGAACCAGAUGGAGCCAGAAGGGGAGAGCAUGUAGAGUGAAAAACAGAAGCCAGUGCAAAACCAAGAAGAAUACUUCAGGAUCAAGCUAGUAUCCCAGAUGGAUUGAUCCAUGAUAUCAAGAAUAUUGCCAGGAUAGACCAAUAUAACUUUAAACGAUGGGGACCAAUUGAAAAAACAGUGAAAGAACAUAUCUCAUUUCAGAAAAUAGAUGUUUCUCUCUCAUGGCUUGUAUAAAUAAAAUUUUACAACCUACCAAACCA